rnacentral:precursor_RNA from 1 species
AUACCAUCAAUGUGCAAGUUGAUGAAAUUAAGUCAGUACAUGAAAUGGGUAAAAUUUCAGACUUGAAGGAUAAUAUUUGUUUGACAGAUUGACAAUGGUUCCUAUUUACCCUAAGAAAGGGAAAUGUUAAUGUGAAGAGCUUUUACUUACAUUCUGGUGCAUUUUGGCUUGGAAAUAACAAGUUAUGUCUUAGUAAACUUUUUGUCCCUACUCUUCUUAGUCUACAUUUCAUCUCUCAACUCCAAAACUGGACAAAACAUGUCCCUCAUCUUCCCUAGCACUAGUUUAGAGUGGUUUUUGCCCAUGUGGACUACUUGGCUAGUCGACUUGCAUAACAAAUGACAUGUACAGGGUGAGCUAAGAGCCAUGUCACAUUUACCUCUCCUACUUCCUUUCUCUUCCACCUUCCCAAAAACUCCCCAGCAGACCUGGAGCGAAAAUUGCCUUGAAUUAGCUUCAGACCUAUAGUGUCGUUGAUAGUUUAGGGACAUGUUUUAUCCGGUAUUGGAGUUGAGGGAUGAAAAUUGGACCAAGUCAAGAGUUUAUGGAUGUAAAGUAGACUUUUACCUUUGCUAAGUUUUGCUGAUAUUUUCCUUGUUUAUUAUUGUUCAGUUGGUUUCAUUUGCAUACAUUUUUUCUCUCCUUUUCCUCUCAUACUGACAUAAUUUAUCAUUUUUGUAGCUUAAUUCAGCAGUUACAGAAAUUUCUAAUGGACAUGCGUAACCCCAAUGAUUCAAGACGUGUAAGACUGUUUCUUUUACGUAAGAAAUUCAUGAUUCAGUUCAAAGAAUAAAAAGAACAAGUGAUUAUCUAAGUACCUACCUUGGUUCAUUCUGAUUCUGCUAGAUUUUAUAUCUGCAUUUACUUCUGUUUGUGUUUGGUAACUGU